rnacentral:rRNA from 1 species
CCUACGGGUGGCUGCAGUGGGGAAUAUUGCACAAUGGGGGAAACCCUGAUGCAGCAACGCCGCGUGAGUGAAGAAGUAUCUCGGUAUGUAAAGCUCUAUCAGCAGGGAAGAAGAUGACGGUACCUGAGUAAGAAGCCCCGGCUAACUACGUGCCAGCAGCCGCGGUAAUACGGAGGGGGCAAGCGUUAUCCGGAUUUACUGGGUGUAAAGGGAGCGUAGACGGUGAGACAAGUCUGAUGUGAAAGGUCGGGGCCCAACCCCGGGACUGCAGUGGAAACUGUUGAACUGGAGUACAGGAGAGGUAAGCGGAAUGCCUAGUGUAGCGGUGAAAUGCGUAGAUAUUAGGAGGAACACCGGUGGCGAAGGCGGCUUACUGGACUGUAACUGACGUUGAGGCUCGAAAGCGUGGGGAGCAAACAGGAUUAGAUACCCGGGUAGUC